AUUGAACGCUGGCGGCAGGCCUAACACAUGCAAGUCGAACGGUAGCACAGAGAGCUUGCUCUCGGGUGACGAGUGGCGGACGGGUGAGUAACGUCUGGGAAACUGCCCGAUGGAGGGGGAUAACUACUGGAAACGGUAGCUAAUACCGCAUAACGUCGCAAGACCAAGGUGGGGGACCUUCGGGCCUCACACCCUCGGAUGUGCCCAGAUGGGAUUAGCUAGUAGGUGGGGUAAUGGCUCACCUAGGCGACGAUCCCUAGCUGGUCUGAGAGGAUGACCAGCCACACUGGAACUGAGACACGGUCCAGACUCCUACGGGAGGCAGCAGUGGGGAAUAUUGCACAAUGGGCGCAAGCCUGAUGCAGCCAUGCCGCGUGUAUGAAGAAGGCCUUCGGGUUGUAAAGUACUUUCAGCGGGGAGGAAGGCGGUGAAGUUAAUAACUUCACCGAUUGACGUUACCCGCAGAAGAAGCACCGGCUAACUCCGUGCCAGCAGCCGCAGUAA
rnacentral:rRNA from 1 species